UACGUAGGGAGCAAGCGUUGUCCGGAAUCAUUGGGCGUAAAGCGCGCGUAGGCGGCCCUGUAAGUCCGUUGUGAAAGUCAAAGGCUCAACCUUUGAAAGCCGAUGGAUACUGCAGGGCUAGAGUCCGGAAGAGGCGAGUGGAAUUCCUGGUGUAGCGGUGGAAUGCACAGAUAUCAGGAGGAACACCAAUAGCGAAGGCAGCUCGCUGGGACGGUACUGACGCUAAGGCGCGAAAGCGUGGGGAGCGAACAGG
rnacentral:rRNA from 1 species